CCUACGGGAGGCAGCAGUGGGGAAUCUUGCGCAAUGGGCGAAAGCCUGACGCAGCAACGCCGCGUGUGUGAUGAAGGUCUUCGGAUCGUAAAGCACUGUCGCGAGGGACGAAUAAGGGGCGGGCUAACAUCCCGUUCCGAUGACGGUACCUCGAGAGGAAGCACCGGCUAACUCUGUGCCAGCAGCCGCGGUAA
rnacentral:rRNA from 1 species